GGACGAACGCUGGCGGCGUGCCUAAUACAUGCAAGUCGAACGAGCUCUCCCAAAUUGAUUUUAUGCUUGCGUAAAUGAUUUUUGGAUUCGGAGCGAGUGGCGAACUGGUGAGUAACACGUGGGUAACCUGCCCUGAAGCGGGGGAUAACAUUUGGAAACAAGUGCUAAUACCGCAUAAUUAGUUGGAACCGCAUGGUUCCAACUUGAAAGAUGGCUCUGCUAUCACUUUGGGAUGGACCCGCGCCGUAUUAGUUAGUUGGUGAGAUAAAAGCCCACCAAGACGAUGAUACGUAGCCGACCUGAGAGGGUAAUCGGCCACAUUGGGACUGAGACACGGCCCAGACUCCUACGGGAGGCAGCAGUAGGGAAUCUUCCACAAUGGACGAAAGUCUGAUGGAGCAACGCCGCGUGAGUGAUGAAGGUUUUCGGAUCGUAAAACUCUGUUGUUAAAGAAGAACAAGUGUUAGAGUAACUGUUAACACUUUGACGGUAUUUAACCAGAAAGCCACGGCUAACUACGUGCCAGCAGCCGCGGUAAUACGUAGGUGGCAAGCGUUGUCCGGAUUUAUUGGGCGUAAAGCGAGCGCAGGCGGUUUUGUAAGUCUGCUGUGAAAGCCCUCAGCUCAACUGAGGAAGUGCAGUGGAAACUACAAAACUUGAGUACAGAAGAGGAAAGUGGAACUCCAUGUGUAGCGGUGAAAUGCGUAGAUAUAUGGAAGAACACCAGUGGCGAAGGGCGGCUUUCUGGUCUGUUACUGACGCUGAGGCUCGAAAGCAUGGGUAGCGAACAGGAUUAGAUACCCUGGUAGUCCAUGCCGUAAACGAUGAAUACUAGGUGUUGGAGGGUCUCCGCCCUUCAGUGCCGCAGCUAACGCAUUAAGUAUUCCGCCUGGGGAGUACGACCGCAAGGUUGAAACUCAAAGGAAUUGACGGGGGCCCGCACAAGUGGUGGAGCAUGUGGUUUAAUUCGAUGCUACGCGAAGAACCUUACCAGCUCUUGACAUCUUCUGCCAACCCAAGAGAUUGGGCGUUCCCUUCGGGGACAGAAUGACAGGUGGUGCAUGGUUGUCGUCAGCUCGUGUCGUGAGAUGUUGGGUUAAGUCCCGCAACGAGCGCAACCCUUAUUAUUAGUUGCCAGCAUUUAGUUGGGCACUCUAGUGAGACUGCCGGUGAUAAACCGGAGGAAGGUGGGGACGACGUCAAAUCAUCAUGCCCCUUAUGAGCUGGGCUACACACGUGCUACAAUGGAUGGUACAACGAGUCGCGAAACCGCGAGGUCAAGCUAAUCUCUUAAAGCCAUUCUCAGUUCGGAUUGCAGGCUGCAACUCGCCUGCAUGAAGUUGGAAUCACUAGUAAUCGUGGAUCAGCAUGCCACGGUGAAUACGUUCCCGGGCCUUGUACACACCGCC
rnacentral:rRNA from 1 species